rnacentral:rRNA from 1 species
GACAUGGGUGGCAAACGUUAUCCGGAAUUAUUGGGCGUAAAGGGUGCGUAGAUGGUAUGAUAAGUUAGCGGUGGGAAAUCGAGGCUCAACCUCGUGGAAGCUGGUAAUACUAUCAUGCUAGAGUGUAGGAGAGGUUAACGGAACUCCCCGUGGAGCGGUGAAAUGCAUAGAUAUGGGGAAGAACACCAAUAAUGGCGAAGGCAGUUAACUAUUCUACUACUGACAUUGAGGCACGAAAGCGUGGGGAGCAAAAAGG